UACUCUGGAGAGUGACAAUCA
rnacentral:miRNA from 1 species